UUGAACGCUGGCGGCAUGCUUUACACAUGCAAGUCGAACGGUAACAGGCCGCAAGGUGCUGACGAGUGGCGAACGGGUGAGUAAUGCAUCGGAACGUGCCCAGUCGUGGGGGGUAACUACUCGAAAGAGUAGCUAAUACCGCAUACGAUCUAUGGAUGAAAGCGGGGGACCGUAAGGCCUCGCGCGAUUGGAGCGGCCGAUGUCAGAUUAGGUAGUUGGUGGGGUAAAGGCUCACCAAGCCAACGAUCUGUAGCUGGUCUGAGAGGACGACCAGCCACACUGGGACUGAGACACGGCCCAGACUCCUACGGGAGGCAGCAGUGGGGAAUUUUGGACAAUGGGCGCAAGCCUGAUCCAGCAAUGCCGCGUGCAGGAAGAAGGCCUUCGGGUUGUAAACUGCUUUUGUACGGAACGAAACGGCUCUGGUUAAUACCCGGGGCUAAUGACGGUACCGUAAGAAUAAGCACCGGCUAACUACGUG
rnacentral:rRNA from 1 species